UAGAGUUUGAUCCUGGCUCAGGAGGGGCGCUGGCGGCGCGCCUAACACAUGCAAGUCGAACGGAGCUUAGAGAGCUUGCUUUUUAAGCUUAGUGGCGAACGGGUGAGUAACGCGUGAGUAACCUGCCCUAGAGUGGGGGACAACAGUUGGAAACGACUGCUAAUACCGCAUAAGCCCACGGUACCGCAUGGUACUGAGGGAAAAGGAUUUAUUCGCUUUAGGAUGGACUCGCGUCCAAUUAGCUAGUUGGUGAGGUAACGGCCCACCAGGCGACGAUUGGUAGCCGGACUGAGAGGUUGAACGGCCACAUUGGGACUGAGACACGGCCCAGACUCCUACGGGAGGCAGCAGUGGGGGAUAUUGCACAAUGGGGGAAACCCUGAUGCAGCGACGCCGCGUGGAGGAAGAAGGUUUUCGGAUUGUAAACUCCUGUCGUUAGGGACGAUAAUGACGGUACCUAACAAGAAAGCACCGGCUAACUACGUGCCAGCAGCCGCGGUAAAACGUAGGGUGCAAGCGUUGUCCGGAAUUACUGGGUGUAAAGGGAGCGCAGGCGGGAAGACAAGUUGGAAGUGAAAACCAUGGGCUCAACCCAUGAAUUGCUUUCAAAACUGUUUUUCUUGAGUAGUGCAGAGGUAGAUGGAAUUCCCGGUGUAGCGGUGGAAUGCGUAGAUAUCGGGAGGAACACCAGAGGCGAAGGCGGUCUACUGGGCACCAACUGACGCUGAGGCUCGAAAGCAUGGGUAGCAAACAGGAUUAGAUACCCUGGUAGUCCAUGCCGUAAACGAUGAUUACUAGGUGUUGGGGGAUUGACCCCCCUCAGUGCCGCAGUUAACACAAUAAGUAAUCCACCUGGGGAGUACGACCGCAAGGUUGAAACUCAAAGGAAUUGACGGGGGCCCGCACAAGCAGUGGAGUAUGUGGUUUAAUUCGAAGCAACGCGAAGAACCUUACCAGGUCUUGACAUCCGAUGCAUAGCACAGAGAUGUGUGAAAUCCUUCGGGACAUCGAGACAGGUGGUGCAUGGUUGUCGUCAGCUCGUGUCGUGAGAUGUUGGGUUAAGUCCCGCAACGAGCGCAACCCUUAUUGCCAGUUACUACGUUAAGAGGACUCUGGCGAGACUGCCGUUGACAAAACGGAGGAAGGUGGGGAUGACGUCAAAUCAUCAUGCCCUUUAUGACCUGGGCUAUGCACGUACUACAAUGGCGUUAAACAAAGAGAAGCAAGACCGCGAGGUGGAGCAAAACUCAAAAACAACGUCUCAGUUCAGAUUGCAGGCUGCAACUCGCCUGCAUGAAGUCGGAAUUGCUAGUAAUCGCGGAUCAGCAUGCCGCGGUGAAUACGUUCCCGGGCCUUGCACUCAGGGCCCGUC
rnacentral:rRNA from 1 species